CCUGAGCCGCCAUUUCUCUGUCCGUUAAACCACCACAAAUCUGAAUAAUACGGUCAGACAACGUGGAUUUACCAUGGUCGAUGUGAGCAAUGAUAGAAAAGUUUCUUAUGUUAUUGAUUUUCAAGGUAAUAUCUUCUUUUAAAUUGCCUACAAAAUCAGCUCUGCAUAAAUAGGUAUCGCAGAACUAAAAUGCUAUGAUUAUCACAAGAUUACUAAUUAGCUGCAUUUUACAUAGAAGAUCUCUGUAACACAAAGGUUCAAUGUAAAACAACUGUAAACUAUGCGGGUUUUUGCUAGAUAGGAGCGCUGAACUCGCCAAACCGCCUAUCAAGUAAGGCGGUUUCACUCAGCAAUCAACUUGAACUGACAGUUCGUUGGGGGGUAAGCCUAUUUGUAAGAUAACUGGUUGAAAUGCAGUCUCAUCCCGCCAAUAAGAGGCGAUUUUACGCGCUAAAAAGAAGCCUAAAAAGCCACCAGCGACACCAGAAAGAGCAACCCAGACUUGUUCAAACCCCGCUAAUUGUACUAACGCUGCAACCAGAAAUAGGCCAAUCAACGGGGUUAAAUAAACGAGCAUAGCAGAGCGCAGCAAACUCCCUUCAGGAAUUCCAACCUCCACUUUUUGCCCAACAACUAAAGGUUGCUCAAUGUCAACUUCGAGCUGAUGUUCGGUAUUUGGCCCUAUUUUACUCAAUGCGUAUGAACCACAUGCCGCGCGCGCGCUACAGCUACCACACCCAGAAGAAGCCCCAUAACGCAAUAACGCCCUUCCUUGGUGCCAACGAAUAACUGUUGCCCACUCUUUUAUCAUCAUCUACUCCUGAAAACG
rnacentral:ncRNA from 1 species